rnacentral:rRNA from 1 species
AUUGAACGCUGGCGGAACGCUUUACACAUGCAAGUCGAACGGUAGAGGGGGCAACCCCUCGAGAGUGGCGAACGGGUGAGUAAUAUAUCGGAACGUGCCCAGUCGUGGGGGAUAACGUAGCGAAAGUUGCGCUAAUACCGCAUACGAUCUAAGGAUGAAAGCGGGGGAUCGCAAGACCUCGCGCGAUUGGAGCGGCCGAUAUCAGGUUAGGUAGUUGGUGGGGUAAAGGCUCACAAAGUCAACGAUCUGUAGCUGGUCUGAGAGGACGACCAGCCAAACUGGAACUGAGACACGGUCCAGACUCCUACGGGAGGCAGCAGUGGGGGAUUUUGGACAAUGGACGCAAGUCUGAUCCAGCCAUUCCGCGUGCAGGAUGAAGGCCCUCGGGUUGUAAACUGCUUUUGUACGGAACGAAAAGGUCUCUCUUAAUACGGGGGACUCAUGACGGUACCGUAAGAAUAAGCACCGGCUAACUACGUGCCAACAGCCGCGGUAA